rnacentral:lncRNA from 1 species
GGUAGAGGGACAAAACAUUAUGAAAGGUAAUAGCUUUAUUGAGAGAGUUUUUUAUUUUUAUUUUUUUGAGAGAUAGGUAGCAGGCUACCCGCUUUGUUUAUUUCAUUUAGAAAUAAACUUGGCUAGAAAUAUAAAUCAACUAGGAUUCGAAUUUGGGUCUCGGGUACCAACCAUCAAACCUUUUGCCAUUUGCUCUAGGAACGGUCGGUAUAUUGAGAGAAUUAUAUG